CCUAAGGGUGGCAGCAGUGGGGAAUAUUGGACAAUGGGCGAAAGCCUGAUCCAGCCAUGCCGCGUGUGUGAAGAAGGCCUUCGGGUUGUAAAGCACUUUCAGUGGGGAAGAAAGCCUUGGGGCUAAUACCCUCGAGGAAGGACAUCACCCACAGAAGAAGCACCGGCUAACUCCGUGCCAGCAGCCGCGGUAAUACGGAGGGUGCGAGCGUUAAUCGGAAUUACUGGGCGUAAAGCGCGCGUAGGCGGUCUGAUAAGCCGGUUGGGAAAGCCCCGGGCUCAACCUGGGAACGGCAUCCGGAACUGUCAGGCUAGAGUGCAGGAGAGGAAGGUAGACUUCCCGGUGUAGCGGUGAAAUGCGUAGAGAUCGGGAGGAAUACCAGUGGCGAAGGCGGCCUUCUGGACUGACACUGACGCUGAGGUGCGAAAGCGUGGGUAGCAAACAGGAUUAGAUACCCCGGUAGUC
rnacentral:rRNA from 1 species